rnacentral:rRNA from 1 species
UGAAUACGAGACGCUAAGGCGUCGAAGUAGUGUAUGUCAUACUUCCAAGAAAAGCUUGCACUGUCAUAAGUAAAAAAUGCCUGUACCAUAACCGACACAGGUGGGUAGGUAGAGUAUACUAAGGGGCGCGAGAUAACUCUCUCUAAGGAACUCGGCAAAAUAACUCCGUAACUUCGGGAGAAGGAGUACCUUAUUCUAUAAGGUUGCAAUAACAAGAUCCAAGCAACUGUUUAUCAAAAACACAGGUCUCCGCUAAGUCGUAAGACGAUGUAUGGGGGCUGACGCCUGCCCAGUGCCAGAAGGUUAAGGAAGUCGGUUAGCAUUAGCGAAGCUGGUAACUGAAGCCCUGGUGAACGGCGGCCGUAACGAUAACGGUCCUAAGGUAGCGAAAUUCCUUGUCGGGUAAGUUCCGACCCGCACGAAAGGCGUAAUGAUUUGGAUACUGUCUCGGAGAGGGGCUCGGUGAAAUAGACUUGUCUGUGAAGAUGCGGACUACCUGCACCAGGACAGAAAGACCCUAUGAAGCUUUACUGUAACUUGAAAUUGAAAUUGGACUUUAUUCGCGCAGUAUAGGUGGGAGGUGUUGAUUAUAAUCUUGCGGGAUUAUUGGAGCCAUCAGUGAGAUACCACUCUUGUAAUGUUAGAUUUCUAACUUUGAAUCAUUAUCUGGUCAAAGGACAGUUUCAGGCGGGCAGUUUGACUGGGCGGUCGCCUCCCAAACGGUAACGGAGGCGUACAAAGGUUUCCUCUGAACGGGUAGAAAUCGUAUCUAGAGUGUAAAGGCAUAAGGAAGCUUGACUGUGAGACCUACAAGUCGAACAGGGACGAAAGUCGGUCUUAGUGAUCUGACGGUACUGAGUGGAAAGGCCGUCACUCAACGGAUAAAAGUUACUCUAGGAUAACAGGCUGAUCUCCCCCAAGAGUUCACAUCGACGGGGAGGUUUGGCACCUUGAUGUCGGCUCAUCGCAUCCUGGGGCGGUAGUACGUCCCAAGGGUUGGGCCGUUCGCCCAUGAAAGCGGUACGCGAGCUGGGUUCAGAACGUCGUGAGACAGUUCGGUCCAUAUCCGGUGUAGGCGUUAGAAUAUUGAGAGGAGCCUUCUUUAGUACGAGAGGACCGAGAAGGACAUACCUCUGGUGUACCAGUUAUCGUGCCAACGGUAAACGCUGGGUAGCUAUGUAUGGAGUGGAUAACCGCUGAAAGCAUCUAAGUGUGAAGCCCACCUCAAGAUAAGUAUUCUCC